UACGUAGGGACCAAGCGUUGUUCGGAUUUACUGGGCGUAAAGGGCGCGUAGGCGGGCGGCCAAGUCAGGGGUGAAAGCCCCCAGCUCAACUGGGGAAGUGCCUUUGAUACUGGCCAUCUCGAGGGAGGUAGGGGCGUGCGGAACUUCCGGUGGAGCGGUGAAAUGCGUAGAUAUCGGAAGGAACACCGGUGGCGAAAGCGGCGCGCUGGACCUCUUCUGACGCUGAGGCGCGAAAGCCAGGGGAGCAAACGGG
rnacentral:rRNA from 1 species